rnacentral:lncRNA from 1 species
UUUUUUGUUGUUAUCUGAUUGCUGAGGCUAGGACUUCUAGUACUAUGUUGAAUAGUAGUGGUGAGAGUGGAUAUCCCUGUCAUGUUUCUGAUCUUAGGGGAAAGGCUCUCAGUUUUUCCCCAUUGAGAAUCAUAUUUGCUGUUAUAACCAUUAUUUUGUAUGAUUUUCACUAAACCCUUCCCUAUCCCAUACUCAUGCAUUAGUUAGUAAAUAAGAUUUUUUGUUGUUGUUUUAUUUUAUACAUAAGAAACUAGAGCUCAAAAUGCAUACUUGGCUUUUUCAAAGUUACGCAUUUGAGGGGAUGGAGUCCAAACUUGCAUUUGAAACUUCUUUUCCUCAAUCGAAGUCCAUCCUCUUAGAUCAUCUAUUUUUUCCAACAUCAUCUAUCAUCUAUAUUUACAAUCUACUGUGGGAAAAUGACUUAAAUAGAGUUGCUAUAAUGGGCAUAAUGAAUAUGUACAUUAAGAGAGGUUCAAAGUGGAGUCUUACCUAGCUAAAAUGAACAGAGAUUCACAGCCAAAAUACUGCAUUGGAUAAAGGCUUUGGUGUGGAGUCAGGUAGACUGGGAUUCGAUCUUAGCUCCUUCACCUACUAGGUAUUUAUACUUAAGCAAGUUUCUUAACUACUCUGAAUCUUGGUUUCCUCAUCAAAAAAAGUGUUAAUAAUAGAUACAACCUGCAGGAAGUUUGCAAGAAUAAAAUUCUAGCAUGUAGUGAAACAUUUAUGACACUGUUGGGCACAAGAACAUUCCUAGUAUUUUUUUCAGCCAUAAUUGUCAUAUUAUGAUUAUACUGGAAAGUGAUAUGGAAAGAAUGGCCAGGAAAUAGCCUUUAAAUGUGCCAGGAAAGCAAACAGAAUUUGUACAUCACCAUCAUCCUCAUCAUCAUCAUCAUCAUCAUAUCUAGCAUUCAUUAAGUGCAAAUUGUGAGCAUUUUAAUAAAUUAUCCUAAUUGAUCCUCACAAUUAUUUGAUUUACAGCAAAAAGUAUGAUAUUUUCCUGAUUUCAUAGGUUAGAAAAUUGAAGAAUGAAAAUAGUAAGUAAUUUUCCUAAGGACUGUGGCAAGAAAAUAAUUGGUUUACCUGGAAAAUAAGGGGCAAUACAUGCUGUUGAUCUUUCCAAUAAUAUUUUCAUCUUAACUAGACAUUUUGAAUAAGAUAAGGUCUUAAUCCAAAGAAGUUAUUAAUGAUGAUUUUUGUGGCUCUUAAAGAUGAGGGUGAGAAAUAUGAAGGUGGUCAUGAAGAGUAUCCCUAAAAUGUUCAUCCUUUUAUUCGUUCAUUUGACACAUUGUUUAACUGCCUAUUUUGUACAGGUUUCAUGUUUUCUACCUGGCUUAGAGUAUUAAACCCUCUUUUCUCCUCCUAUUUAUCUUAAAUAGUUUCAAGUGUAAAUAAAUAUUACAAAAGUAGUACAGUGAACAACCACAUUCUUUUCACUUAGACUCAACCAUUGUUUUUGCUACAUUUGUUUUUACUGUAUAUGUAAGUACAUUUGUGUGUGUGUGUGUGUACAUUCAUACACAUUUGUACAUACAUACAUCACUUUUUUGGCCCACCAUUUUAGAGUUAAUACCUGACAUUAAGAAACUUUGCCUCCAAAUACUUCAGCAUAUAUUUCCAUAGAACAAGGAGGCUCUGUAUAACCACAAUACAGUGAUCAUAUUCAGAAAAUUUAACAUUAAUACACUUUCAUUAAUUAAUGUACCUUCAAUAUUUAAAUUUAUCUAAUUUUCUCAAUAAUGUAAUUUAUAGCUUUUCUCUCUCUUUUUAAUUUAUUUAUUCAUGAGACACACAGAGAGAGGCAGAGACAUAGGCACAGCGAGAAGCCAGCUCCUGUGGGGAGCCUGAUGUGGGGAGACUCAAUCCCAGGACCCCAGGAUCAUGACCUGAGCCAAAGGCAGAAGCUCAACCACUGAGCCACCCAGAUGCCCCUAUAGCUUUUUUCCUAAUGCAAGCUUCAAUCACAAAUCACAGUGGAUUUGGUCAUCAUGUCAGUAUUCUCCUUCAAUGUUAAAGUUCAUCGAACUUUUUUUGUUUUUUAACUUUUAGACUCCAUUUAUUUUGCAGAAUAUACCUCUAUAUGACUUGCUUAUUUUGCCAUGAUUAGAUUCAGGUUAAGCAUUUUUUCCUGAACAUUACAUAAGUAAUAUCUGUCCUCAUUGCAUCACACUGGGAAGCUCAUGAUGCCAACUUGUUCAAUCUCUUUAUCUCUAAGAAAGAGCUUGAAAUUCUGAAGGGAACAAUACAACCCCAAUUCCUGGCACUGUCUCUACUUGCAACACACAUUUCAAAGUCCUGUAUUAGAAAUCUGAAAGUAACUGUAAUGAUGGUGCCACUGCAUUCAUUCAACUGAAAUUCAUUAUGUACAUUCAAUCAUUCAUUUGUGAAUGGAUGGCUCCUUUAUGAAAUGGUGAAAAUCAUUUUUCAUAAAUUAAGGACUUUUACAUGCAAGACUGGAGUUUAUAACUGUAUGGGAGUUUUGACUUAUUACUCAAUUAUAGUAUUCCCAAAGUAGAUUUGGGUGGGGGGAUAGCUUUGAAAAUUAAAAACACUAAGUUUAGAAUGAAUAAGAGGAAAUAUCACUUUCUACAUCAGCUACAAUCUUAUAAAAUAUAUUACUUUAAUUGAGUUAUUAUAGACCAACUUCUUGGCUGAGUUGACUUAUUUUAAAAUGAAAAAGAUGACUAGAUGAUUUGUAAGUUCUCUUCUCUUUCAACAUUCAGUUUCUGGCUAAAUUUGUUAACAUUUUAAGUUGUGAUUUAGGUAAAUUCACUGACGACAGAUUUGUAAGGGGUUAUUAAGGGUAACUGGGAUGUUUGGAAAUUUCCCCAAUGUCUUAAUUAGACAUUAUAAAAGAAUCACCACAGCAAUCUCAAUGGUACCACUUACUUUGACCUGCUUCUGUUCACUUCAUAAUCUAUUGUGGAUUAUUAUGGCUUUCCAGCACCUGACUCAUUUCCCAUAUCUGACUACACUUUAUCCUUCUUUUUACUCUUUUGCCAACUUAUUCUUUGGCUUUUGAUCCCUACCAUAUUUCAAAUUUACUCUUUAAUUUGCUGCUAUUGGCUGAUGUAGUUAAAUGUUUCACCUAAUUAGCCUGGUCCAGGGUCAUACAGAACCUCAUAAAUGGGGAUGUUGGUAGUGGCGCUUAGCUAUAAGGUGGGCCCCAGACAAGAAGACCAGUUUGAUCUAAUAUGCUAAUCUAUAUGUUCUUAAUUGUUAAACAGAGAUGCAGACAUGUUGACCUUUUCAGUUCUAGCAUCACAUUCUAUGUGAUUCACUUCCACUUCGUAGUAGAUCUGUGGGAAAACUGAAAGCAGAAGUAAUGUAAAAUGUUGGUUUUACAUGAAAAUCAUUUUUAUGAAAAAAAGGAGAUUGAUAAUUUUAAGUUAUACUGGAUUUGAAAACAGGAUGUAGAGAUCCUUUUGCUGAAUGUGUUUAACUGAUAAGAUAUAUUCGUUCACUUACUCAUUUGUGAUAUUAUAAUAAUAAAGAGAACAGAUUCUGAAUAUGGACUGCCACUUACCACCAGGGUAAGUCAUUUGACCUCUAUGUGUCUCAGUUUCAUUAUCUACAAAAAUGGGAAUAACAACGGCAGCUACCAAAGGAUUGAUGAGAAUUAAUCAGUUAAUGUAUAUGAAAACCUAUAGAACACUAUUUGGCACAUAGCAAGUGCCACAUAUAUAUUAACUAUUAUUACCAAUCUAUAGUCUUUGGUCUCCUAUUAUAUGUCUAACAUAAUAUAAAGAAUCCCAUACACAUUCUUGGAGUCAAAGAAUAAUUCAAAGUAAUAUUUGACAUCUAACAGCAGAGGAGAUGAGGGGUUUGAGGUUUACCCAUGGGAUUUCUUCCUAUUAUCAUCAUCAUUGUCAUAGUGACUACAUUUAUUGAGUGUUUGUGCCUGGCACUCUUAGGUGUCUUUCAUACUUUUUCUUAUUUUGGUUUUUACUUUUACAGAAAGGUUAACUCUCUGCUAAAGGCCAUAUAGCUUGAAAAUGGUAGAUUCAAGAUCAAACUGAAGCAGCCUGACUCUAAUAUUCCAUGAUAUUAAUAACACUGGACAUCUAUAAACUAUAUCGAGACAUGGCACGAAGUGCCUUCAUUCAAUACACACACACAUGUACUGAGAACACAGUACAUACGCGGUGGACAGAGACAAAUCAGACCCCUGUCGUCAGAUAACUCCUGCUAUCAAAGAGAUCAGAUUUCAUGUUGAGGAUACAAAAAUGAAAAUGACAAAGUGUAGAGUGUGCUAUGACAGUGAUGUUCCCAGGGCAAGCUCCAGAAAUGGCCUCUCAAUCUGAGGGAAAAUUGAGGAGGCAUGAGAAAUGAAGAGAGGGCUCGGCAGUGUCAAGGAUGGAGAGGCAGCAGGUGAAUAGGUGUGGAACAGGCAUCUGAAGGAGAAAGACAACAUGUGAGAAGAGAUUUGAUGUGUGUGGGGAACUAUGGGACUUUGCGGCUGGAGGAGAUUGAGGGUCUAGGAGAUAUGGAACUAAGAGGAAAACAGGGCAUGACCAGGAAACCUCUGUCUGCUAAUGUGAAGAGCUUAACAUUGAACAAGAAGACUUGGGGAUUGUUUGAAAACAUUUAACCAGGAAGAAAACAGGAUCAAAUUUGCUUAACAAAGAUCAUUGCACAAAAAGUAUUAAGGGUUUUUUUUUUUUAAUCAUGUCUUUAAAUUAAUGGCAUGUUUUAUUGAAAUCUGUCUGUAUUAAGUUCUUCUUGUUUUUGUGGGUUUACACUAAUGAAUUUCAGUAGGUGGUAUUAUUAAUAUUACUCACUAUUCCUACCUACCAGUUUCUUAAUUCCUUAGGUUUAUAGCAUGCUUUCAACUCCAUUAUCUCCCAUAACUGCUAUAACUGCCUUUUAAAAAAAAUGAUUAUUUCCCAUUUGCAGAUGAAGAAACUGAGGCUGAGUGAUGUUAGCUUUCACAGAAUUGCCUACCUCAGAACUACAACCCUGGGAAUAAAUCUGAGCAAGGAAGCCUCAAACGGAUGCCACGUGAUUACCCUCUUUGGCUCUGCGGUGAACUGCAAGGGACCUCCACCCUUGAAAUACCCAUGCAAUUCGGACAUCCCACUAUAGCACCAGGGUCAGUUCCAACCCAGCUACUUAGGACAGCGGUUCUGCUCUAACAAACUGUUAUAAACUGGGUGGUUUAAACAUUCAUGCCUCAUAGUUCUGGAGGCUGGGAGGUUCAAUAUCAAGGUGCUGGCCGAUUUAGGGUUUGGUGAAAGCCUGCUUCCUGGUUCACAAGUAGCCAUCUUUUCCCUGUGUCCAAACCUGGAGGAAGGGGUGAGGGAUAUCUUAAGAGCCUCGUUUCUAAGGACACUAAUUCCAUUCACAAGGGCUCCAUGCUCAUAACCUAAUCACCCUCCCAAAGGCCCUACCUUCAAAUAUCACCACACUGGGGAUUAGAUUUCAAUAUAUAAAAUUUGGAGGACACAGGACACAGGCAUCCAGUCCAUAACACUACCCAAUGACCAUUUUCUGUCUUCCUGGAUAGCAAACCUUAUCUGUCUCCUGGCAGCAGUUGUGGCCAAUGACAUGUAGACAGAAUCCUUCUGGUGACCCUUUGGAAAAGAUUUUUCUCUGAAGAGAGAGUAGUAUGAGCUAAUGGUCCCUUUGCUUCCUCCCUAUCUUGUAUGCUCUUGUGUGGCAAUGUCAUAUUUGAAGGCAGGUAGGAUCUUAUGAGCAAUAAGGGAUCUUUUUAAAUUUUGUUUAGAUUCUAUUUAUUUAUUUGACUGAGAGAGAGAGAGAGAGAGAGAAUGAGAGAGAGAAAGAGAGCACAAGAAGCAGGGGGAACAGGAAAGAGAGAAGCUCCAACUUGGGGCUCGGUCCCAGGACCCUGAGAUCAUGACCUGAGUGUAAGACAGAUGCUUGACUGACUAAGCCACCCACGCAACCCGAAAAGAGAUCUUUUGAGAACAAAAAAAACCCCAACAUACUGAGGAUGGUGUAAGGGGAGGAUGCAGG